rnacentral:rRNA from 1 species
AUGGCCGCCGCCGCGUUCUCCAUCAGGGAGUACGCGGCGAGCAUGAGGGGCGGGACGGCGAAGGAGGGGCGGCGUUUCUUGGGAAUCGAGGAUCUCCCGCCUCUCGGAGCGCCGAGGUGCCGGUGGUGGGCGGACGAGCUCGCCUCCACCGUGGCUGCUGCAGCUGCGGCGGUGGCGUCCUCGAGGAGGGCGCAAGGGAAGGCGAAGCCGCCGAAGAAGCGGUCCAUCUCCGACCUCUUCGCCGCGGCGCCCCCUUUGGCCGUGCCCCCCGCCGGUGAUACCGGAUGCAAAGAGCAAAUGGAUUUGGACGGCGACGAGGCGCUGUGCGCGAUCGCGAGGCGGGCGAAGGAGGAGAAGAAACGAAAGAGAAAGCUGCAAGAAGAGGAGGAGGGGCAGAAGGAGGAGACGGCGGCAGUUGAUGCCGCGCCGGAGAGCAGCGGAGGCCGAGAGCCCGAGGGGAAUUUCGCUGCAAGAAAGGAAGCACUUGAAAAUCCAAACCUGUUUGAUGGACUGGAUACUCACUCAUUACAGAAACCUGAGGCUUCACAACAUCACAGAGAAGAGAGAGAAAAGAUAUCUGAGAGAAGGAAGCAGGGGAAGAUCAAUAAUAUAACCAAGAAGAAGGCUAACACACAAAAGCACAUCGGCAACAGUAAAGCUGACAAAGUGGGGAAACCACGAGAUCUAGAAAAUUUUAUCCCUAGGCAUGGCAUUCUAAAGUGCACAAAGCACACAUCAGUGAAAAUGGUCAAGGAGAAACGUGGCAAUUCAGAAGGCAAGGAAGUAAUAGAACUCUGCCGCAAAUCAGUGAAACGUGUCAAAUUCUCAGAAGCAGAUGCUAUACUUGAGCUACCAGAACGACAAAGUCUCUGCAAGAUGUUUUCAGAUGUUAUGGCUUCUUCAUCGUCGUCCUCGUCAUCAUCAUCAUCAUUCACGUCUACCGAAGGAGACAAAUGCGUAACUGCAGAAAGUGGUAGUUCUCAUAUGCCCAUGGAAGCUUCCACUAAGGCGAAAGCAAAUAAGAAUUCAGAUCAUGAGGAUUCUCCUGACAAAAGCAUAACUGCAGAAAGUGGUAGUUCUCAUAUGCCCAUGGAAGCUUCCACUAAGGCGAAAGCAAAUAAGAAUUCAGAUCAUGAGGAUUCUCCUGACAAAAGCAUAACUGCAGAAAGUGGUACUUCUCAUAUUGCCAUGGAAGCUUUCACUAAGACGAAAGAAGUAAAUAAGAAUUCAGAUCAUGAGGAUUCUCCUGAGGCUGGUAACAGAGAGAUGGCCGCUCCUCUCAUUGAUCUGAAUAUGGCGUUACCGGAACCUACUGAACUGGACCAAAGGUAUGAUUCAUAUUCAGAGGUGCUAAAUCUGGAGCAUACACAUGAGGAAACUUUAAGUUCUAAUGUCCAAUUGCAUGAUGGGAGAGAAAACCUGAAGAUUUUUUCUGUUGAUUCACAUAGGCUGGAAAGCGAACAAUCUACUGCUGACUUGGAAAGAAUAACGAAUUCAAGUUUGGCAGGCACAUUAUUGCAUGGUGAGGCGAUAAAAGUUUCUGAUGUAGAUGCUGCUGGUUCUCCAUUGAGCUUAACUGAACUUGCAGAGACUCGUCGUGGUUGCAGUAAUGUUUCAGUAAAAGAUACUAUGACUAUGAGUACGUCUCCUUGUGCAUUGCCAGAUCACACAUUUCCGGAUUCAUUUCGGCAGCACCAGAGUUGGUUUUCCACAAGCGGCAAAUUUUCUUCCUGGCCAUCUCAUGAAUCUAAUGUGUCACACAGUAAGGAGUUCAAUUUUCGUUCUGAGUUGAACAUUCCGCGUGAGAAUGGACCUUCCACAGGACCGACAGUUCGUUUGAUGGGUAAAGAUCUUUCAGUUUGCACGACCAGAGCUGAAUCGUUUUCCGAGACUGCGCAGAAGCAUACAGGUACUUUUACCAAUGACUAUCUCAAGGCAAAUGUGUUCUUGCCACAACAAGGACGGCCUUUUCUCUCUUUACAAGCUCAGAAUUUCCCCAAGGAUACAGCAAAUUCCACCAGUAUAAUUCAUGCUUCAACAUAUCAUGCAAGCGCAAGUCAGGCACGGACUACACAUGAUUAUGGCCACCCUGUCCCGGCAGCUAAUGUACUUUCUGGAGAUCAGUUGACAUAUGAGAACAGGUUUUUUGAUUUUUCAAACUCGCAGACCAAUCGGCCUUUUCUAUUGGGGUGCCCACCUCCUCUCAAUCGUGGCAGUACAGCAUCCCAACAGAAUUCCCCGUCGCGCCGUUAUUACUCUGAUCCUAUCCCUAGGACAGAACCACCCACAGCAUCACCUUUGCCUACAACCAGACAGCAUGGUACAUCAUCUUUAGGUUUCCAUGCCAAUUUGCCUCAGCAACAUGUUGUGCAUCCAGCAAGCUCGUCAGUUUGUCGUCUUAAUUCUGUGGAUUUUACAUUCAACCAUCCAGACCGGGUAGUUCAUACACCUUCCAACAGCAUAAGAGAUGCAACCCUUUCGGCAAGAAAUACAGAUAACACAGUGGGGAGCGCUGUUCUUGGCAAUUUUAAUGCUUCACCUAGUGGUCGGUAUGUGCAGAAGAGAUCAGGGCCAGUGAAGCUCACUCCUGGGGCGAAGCAUGUACUGGUGCCAAACGAUAGCACAGGUGACGGCGAUUCUGCGCCUGUGUACUCCUGUGUUUCGUUCGGAAGUAGGAGCACAAAUGCUGCAGGUCCUCAGAACAAAGGAGCAUGA